rnacentral:rRNA from 1 species
AGAGUUUGAUCCUGGCUCAGGAUGAACGCUGGCGGCAUGCCUAAUACAUGCAAGUCGAACGAGAGGAAGGAAAGCUUGCUUUUCUGAAUCUAGUGGCGAACGGGUGAGUAACACGUAGGUAACCUGCCCAUGUGCCCGGGAUAACUUCUGGAAACGGAUGCUAAAACCGGAUAGGUAGCAGACAAGCAUUUGACUGCUAUUAAAGUGGCCUUGGCCAUGAACAUGGAUGGACCUGCGGUGCAUUAGCUGGUUGGUGAGGUAACGGCCCACCAAGGCGACGAUCCAUAGCCGGCCUGAGAGGGUGGACGGCCACAUUGGGACUGAGACACGGCCCAAACUCCUACGGGAGGCAGCAGUAGGGAAUUUUCGUCAAUGGGGGGAACCCUGAACGAGCAAUGCCGCGUGAGUGAGGAAGGUCUUCGGAUCGUAAAGCUCUGUUGUAAGAGAAAAACGGCACUCAUAGGGAAUGAUGAGUGAGUGAUGGUAUCUUACCAGAAAGUCACGGCUAACUACGUGCCAGCAGCCGCGGUAAUACGUAGGUGGCGAGCGUUAUCCGGAAUGAUUGGGCGUAAAGGGAGCGUAGGUGGCAGAUCAAGUCUGGAGUAAAAGGCAUGGGCUCAACCCGUACUGGCUCUGGAAACUGAUCAGCUAGAGAACAGAAGAGGACGGCGGAACUCCAUGUGUAGCGGUAAAAUGCGUAGAUAUAUGGAAGAACACCGGUGGCGAAGGCGGCCGUCUGGUCUGGAUUCUGACACUGAAGCACGAAAGCGUGGGGAGCAAAUAGGAUUAGAUACCCUAGUAGUCCACGCCGUAAACGAUGAGAACUAGGUGUUGGGGGAAUAACUCAGUGCCGCAGUUAACGCAGUAAGUUCUCCGCCUGGGGAGUAUGCACGCAAGU